rnacentral:rRNA from 1 species
UGGCAGACGGGUGAGUAACAUGUAGGUAUCUUCCCAUUGGUGAGGAAUAACACGAGGAAACUUGUGCUAAUACCUCAUAAGUCUUUACGGAGAAAGCUUUAUGCGCCGAUGGAUGAGCCUGCACUUGAUUAGUUUGUUGGUAGGGUAAUGGCUUACCAAGACUGUGAUCAAUAGCUGAUUUGAGAGGAUGAUCAGCCACAUUGGGACUGAGACACGGCCCAAACUCCUACGGGAGGCAGCAGUAGGGAAUCUUGCACAAUGGGGGGAACCCUGAUGCAGCGAUGCCGCGUGAGUGAAGAAGGCCUUUGGGUUGUAAAGCUCUUUCGUCGGGGAAGAAAAUGACUGUACCCGAAUAAGAAGGUCCGGCUAACUUCGUGCCAGCAGCCGCGGUAAUACGAAGGGACCUAGCGUAGUUCGGAAUUACUGGGCUUAAAGAGUUCGUAGGUGGUUAAAAAAGUUGGUGGUGAAAUCCCAGAGCUUAACUCUGGAACUGCCAUCAAAACUUUUUAGCUAGAGUAUGAUAGAGGAAAGCAGAAUUUCUAGUGUAGAGGUGAAAUUCGUAGAUGUUAGAAAGAAUACCAAUUGCGAAGGCAGCUUUCUGGAUCAUUACUGACACUGAGGAACGAAAGCAUGGGUAGCGAAGAGGAUUAGAUACCCUCGUAGUCCAUGCCGUAAACGAUGUGUGUUAGACGUUGGAAAUUUAUUUUCUGUGUCGCAGCGAAAGCAAUAAACACACCGCCUGGG